AAGAAUACUGGAGUGGGUUGCCAUUUCUUUCUCCUACAGUAGGUUAGUGUGUACCUGUCAGUCCCAAUCUCUCAGUUUUAUCUCCCUAACCUCCUUAUCCCCUGGUAACCAUGAGCUUGUUUUCCAGUGAUGGCCCUCUCUAAGGGGAGGUUAAUCGUUCACACUGGGUAAGAACAAUCAUUUACAAGCUCAUCACAGCUUGCCUGUUUAGCUCUUCACUUUGCCCCCAUGAGUUAGGAGAGGCAGAUGCUGCCUCCAUUUUACAGAAGGAGAAGCUGAGGCAUAGAAGAACAACAGACGCCUCUGUGAGCCCACACUCCCUAGAACGGUACCUGUGAUGAUCCAGAGGUGUGUGACCUUGACCUCAGGUAUUAACACCAAGGGACUGAGCCUGACUCUCUAUUGACAGAAGUUCAACUCAGGUCUGAGGACUUCACUUCUUAGUGCAGUCUCCAUGGAAGAAAUCUGGGCCUCUUGGACUCCACCAUGCUUUGGGGAAUCCAGGCUCCCUUCUUGGAGAGGCCACACAGAAAGAGCUAACAGAGGCAGGGGCCAGUCCUGAUCCCCACAUCAUCCCAGUUAAGCAUCCCACUGUGAGUUAAGGAGACACCUUGGAUGUCCAACCUAGAAGAGCCUGAAGGUGACCUCACCCCAGCCACUGACAGACCACAUUCAGCUGAGAAUCCAAGCCAUGAGAUUAUGAGAGAAGGAACUAUCGUCUGGAACCACUAUGCUUUGGAGCAGUUUGUUACACUGAUGACUAAAUUGCCACCAGAAGAGAAACUAGAGAUGCGGGGGGCGGGGUUGGUGGUGAAUCAGGGUUUCUAAGUAUAAUCUUGCACAUGCAUUGUAGCUGUAAUCAUUGAUAACUUAUUUUGGCUUUUCCCCCCUGAAAGUUUUACAAUAGAUGAUUUACAAUGCACAAAAUAAGUGUAUCUCCAUGUUUAACAAAAACACCUUACU